rnacentral:lncRNA from 1 species
CUGCAGGGCCCAAGAGCCUCCUUUCUCUGGGCCAAAUAUCUCUAAACUCCAAUGUCUUCAUUGGCUUUGUGAGUUUGCACACGUACUUUGGCAAGGCUCCACUUCCUCGUGAGUAAGAAGAGUAUAAUCAUGCAGAGGCAGAAGAGUGGGAUGGAAGAGAGGGUCAGAGGGCAUCAGCGACAACCCUCCUCACCACCAAGGGCAACAGCAGCUGGGAACAUCUGUGCUGCCGCUGAAUCCCGGACGAUUUGAGGCAACCAAACGUGAACAAAGAAGCUAUUCACGAUGUGCUGGG